rnacentral:rRNA from 1 species
GGAGGAUGCGAGCGUUAUCCGGAUUUAUUGGGUUUAAAGGGUGCGUAGGCGGACAAAUAAGUCAGUGGUGAAAACCUGCAGCUUAACUGUAGACUUGCCGUUGAUACUGUUAGUCUUGAGUAUGGUCAAGGUAGGCGGAAUGUGUAAUGUAGCGGUGAAAUGCUUAGAUAUUACACAGAACACCGAUUGCGAAGGCAGCUUGCUGGGCCAUUACUGACGCUCAUGUACGAAAGCGUGGGGAGCAAACAGGAUUAGAUACCCUGGUAGUCCACGCCCUAAACGAUGUCUACUAGUUGUCGGAGGGUAACUCCUUCGGUAACGCAGCUAACGCGUGAAGUAGACCGCCUGGGGAGUACGGUCGCAAGAUUA